rnacentral:piRNA from 1 species
UAAGAAAAUUGAUGGGAACAAAAUCACC